rnacentral:rRNA from 1 species
UAUCAGUCAUGCAUAGCAUAUCAAUAAGCGGAGGAAAAAGAAACUAACAAGGAUUCCCCUAGUAACGGCGAGUGAAGCGGGAAGAGCUCAGAUUUGAAAUCUUAAAGGGUUUCCCUUUACGAAUUGUAGUUUAAAGAAGUGUUUUCUGUUAGAGUUUCGGUAAAAGUUCUUUGGAAUAGGACAUCAUAGAGGGUGAGAAUCCCGUAUUUGACCGUUAUUUCUAGCUUUGUGAUACACUUUCGAAGAGUCGGAUUGUUUGGGAAUGCAGUCCAAAAUGGGUGGUAAAUUUCAUCUAAAGCUAAAUAUUGGCGAGAGACCGAUAGCGAACAAGUACCGUGAGGGAAAGAUGAAAAGAACUUUGAAAAGAGAGUUAAACAGUACGUGAAAUUGUCAAAAGGGAAGCGUUUGACACCAGUGUUGUUUAAUUGAAAAUCAAUUAACUAAUUUUUGAUUUUAAAUAGUAUUGACUUUAUCAGCUAGCUAUUUUCUUUUCGGAAAUUAUUUAAUGCACUUUUCAGUUAACAAGUCAACAUCAAUUUCUUUUGUUGUAAAAAGGUAAGAGGAAGGUGGCUUAUGCUUCGGUAUAAGUGUUUAUAGCCUUUUACCUCUGCAAUCGGAGAGAUUGAGGUCUGCAGCGUAGAUCCUUCGGGGUUAGAUGACAUUUGUGCUAAGUUAUAGUAUUUUAUAGACAACUUGUUGACUAUGAUUUAUCAUGUAGCUUACUCGCUUAUGCUAUUUUACCUACGCUUAGGAUGUUGACGAUCAGCUGAGCGCGUGAGUCUAUACAUGACUCUGUGCAUAUCAAUAAGCGGAGGAAAAGAGGUGACUCUACCUACGCUUAGGAUGUUGACGAUCAGCUGAGCGCG